rnacentral:misc_RNA from 1 species
GAAAUGCGAUAAGUAAUGUGAAUUGCAGAAUUCAGUGAAUCAUCGAAUCUUUGAACGCACCUUGCGCUCCUUGGUAUUCCUUGGAGCAUGCCUGUUUGAGUAUCAUGAAAUCUUCAAAGUAAAUCUUUUGUUAACUCAAUUGGUUUCUACUUUGGUAUUGGAGGUCUUUGCAGCUUCACACCUGCUCCUCUUUGUUCAUUAGCUGGAUCUCAGUGUUAUGCUUGGUUCCACUCGGCGUGAUAAGUUAUCUAUCGCUGAGGACACUGUAAAAGGUGGCCAAGGUAAAUGCAGAUGAACCGCUUCUAAUAGUCCAUUGACUUGGACAAUACUUUUAUGAUCUGAUCUCACAUCAGGUAGUACUACCCGCUGAACUUAAGC